UACGUAGGGUGCGAGCGUUGUCCGGAAUUAUUGGGCGUAAAGAGCUUGUAGGCGGUUUGUCGCGUCUGCCGUGAAAAUUCGAGGCUCAACCUCGAACUUGCGGUGGGUACGGGCAGACUAGAGUGUGGUAGGGGAGACUGGAAUUCCUGGUGUAGCGGUGAAAUGCGCAGAUAUCAGGAGGAACACCGAUGGCGAAGGCAGGUCUCUGGGCCACUACUGGCGCUGAGAAGCGAAAGCAUGGGGAGCGAACAGG
rnacentral:rRNA from 1 species